rnacentral:rRNA from 1 species
UAGUCUCGCACAGAUGCAUAUCAAUAAGCGGAGGAAAAGAAACUAACAAGGAUUCCCCUAGUAACGGCGAGUGAAGCGGGAAGAGCUCAAAUUUGAAAUCUUAAAGGGUUUCCCUUUACGAAUUGUAGUUUAAAGAAGUGUUUUCUGUUGAGGUUUUGGUAAAAGUUCUUUGGAAUAGGACAUCAUAGAGGGUGAGAAUCCCGUAUUUGACCUUUACUUUCAACUUUGUGAUACACUUUCAAAGAGUCGGAUUGGUUGGGAAUGCAGUCCAAAAUGGGUGGUAAAUUUCAUCUAAAGCUAAAUAUUGGCGAGAGACCGAUAGCGAACAAGUACCGUGAGGGAAAGAUGAAAAGAACUUUGAAAAGAGAGUUAAACAGUACGUGAAAUUGUCAAAAGGGAAGCGUUUGACACCAGUGUUGUUUUUCUGAAAAUCAAUUAAAGAACUGUUUAUGCUAAGCUGUUUAGACUUUAUCAGCUAUACUGUUUAGUUUUGAGCUUUUCUUUAAUGCACUUUUCAGUUAACAAGUCAACAUCAAUUUCUUUUGCUGUAAAAAAGCUUGAGGAAGGUGGCUUGAGAUUCGUCUUAAGUGUUUAUAGCCUCUUGCCUAUGCAGUCGGAGAGAUUGAGGUCUGCAGCGUAGAUCCUUCGGGGCUAAAUGCAUUUGUGCUAAGUUAUAGCAUUUUAUAGACAACUUGUUGACUAUGAUUUGUCUUGUAGCUUACUCGCUUAUGUUAUUUUACCUACGCUUAGGAUGUUGACGCAUGAGAUAUACGC